UCAUUGGAUGAAGGCAAAAGACUUAUUAUGUGUGACAUACGUUUUUCUGUUGUAGUACUGUCAGUUGUGUGCGCCACGCUUGUUGAGUUGACCGAUGAAAAACACCAUGUUGUCAUAGUUAGCAUCAAUUACGGUGGGGACUGCCUUUAUCAUGGACACUUUGUUGUUCAAGGCACGAUGUAUUAUCUUGAUACGCCUUGCGAACGAUGGUUGUGCGCCAACAGGAUCAAUUAUACAGACGGAUAUCUGCAUCGUUUCAGCUGCCCGGAACCCGAUCCACCAAAGCCGCUCUGCUGGCAUGAAGCAGGAAAGGGCAGGUACCCGAAAUGUUGCCUACAGGAAGUGUGCCCCGUCCAAGCAAAUAAUACGGCAGUCUCAAUGAGUCCUCUUCAUCAAGACAGUGCAUUGAAAGAUGGCGCCACAGGCAAACGAAUCAAGCGAUGAUGAAACACAAUUAUACCUUCACAAGGAAGCUCUACA